rfam:Ovis aries breed Texel chromosome 3, whole genome shotgun sequence.
UCCCUGGUGGUCCAGCGGUUAGGACUCCACGCUUCUGCUGCUGGAGGUACAGGUUCCAUCCCUGGUCAGGGAA